rnacentral:lncRNA from 1 species
CCCCAUUCACACGCCUACUCUCUCUCUCUCUUACCUCUUUCUCUUUUCCCUUUCUACCACCAUGAAUAACCAUUGUAAAAGCUUCCAAGAUCACUUCUAUACCAAGAAACUCCAUCAAAUCAAGUUCUAAACAUCUAUAUUCCUUUGAAUCAAGAGCAAGUUUUGGAGGAGUUUUCAAGCUUGAAGUUAGAGAGAAGAAUUUUUAUUUCUUUCAAAAUCCUUGAGUAAGUGAUGAAUCCUCUUAGAUCUAGACUUAUUUAUGUUGGAUAUGUGUGUAUAUGGUUAGAUCAAACUAGAAAACACCCCUAUCCCUUCUUUAAAAUUUUCGAAAAUUGUGGGUUAUGCCCUUCAAAAUUUUUAUUUUUCUUUUCUUGAAUUGAGGUUAUUUAAAUACUAUUGGGUUCCUAAUUAGUCUUUUUCCAUGUGUAGAUAAUUGAAUUAAAAAGAGAUAUGAGAUUUGAAAUAGUUUAGUUUGUGUAAAUUUGGGAAGUUUUGUAUUUGAGGCUUGAUUGAUGAAUUGAUGGAUGAUAUAUGCUAUUGAGAGUGUUUAUAUGAGAUUUGAUGGAUUGGAUUGAUGGUUGAAAUUGAUUAGUAAUUUUUGAUAUGAGUUAGUUUGAUGUAAUUUGGGUAAAAUUGAUUCUAUGGUUUAAUUUACUAAUCGAUUGUUUAUUUAUGCUAUUAAGUGUGUCAAUUUGAUAGAUCUAAGUUUGGGUUAAUGAUUUAUGCAUGUUUACAAAUUUUCAAAAAGUUUAGUUUGUUAAAAAUUGGGACUUUGUGAUCUAUGUGUUAAUUGAUUAAAUUGGCUAAGGUUAAUUGUUAUUAAGCAUGAUAGAAAUGAUAAUUAGGGAUCAAUUUGGUUAUUGUCAAGAAAGCCUAAAAUUGGUUAAGUUUAGUUUACUAAUAAUUGGGAACUUUUGAUUAACAAGAUAAAUACUUGAAUUGAUGAUUAUUAUAUGUUAGUUAGACUACUAGCAAGGAGAAAUCAUGAUUAAUUUAGUUAAUGAUGUUGAUUUGUGAAAAUUUCUCGAGUUUAGUUUGCGUGCAUACAUGAGAUCUUGUAUAUAAGAUGAGUUAUGAGCCAAGCAUGUCUAUAUGUGGCUAAUUGAUGAUAAGUUGAGCUUAUAUAUGCGAUAUGAGACGAGUUUAUGUUAUUGUGUAUGAUGUGAGCUUAAUUUGAAUUUUUGAGAAUUUUUCAUCGAAGAAGUCCGGAGUUUAGGUAUAAUUGCUUUUAUGUUCAAGUUUGGAGUUAUUUUAUGACCUUUUCUACCUAAUGUUUCGUUGGGUUCUUGAUAUCCAAAGACCCUAAAAAUUUUAUGGUAAUAUUAUACGCGAGUCUUGAGAAUACUGGUAAAAUUUUACGUGAAUUGGACUUCGGUUACUAUUUUUAUAAAAUCGAAAACUAAAACUGCUACUUUCUGCCGAAAUGUUCGGUGAGUAGCCAAUAGAGUAACCUUUUCCAGAAUCUCUCCCUAACGUUUUGGAUCCCAAAUUUUUAUUGUUAAGAAAUGAUUGUCGUAGCUAAGUACACAGAAAAUUUUAAGCCUUUUCGGCAACGUUUACUAUUAUUCAAAAAUCAAGGUUUUCAAUUGCUCAAAACUGCCGAAUAUGGUAGACUGUAGGAAAACAGUCAUAUCUCCUAAACUACUUGGCGUUUUUCAUCCUACUUUUUUUGAAUGAAACUAGACUCAAGGAGGUUUCAAUUGGUAUAGGUCACGACUCCAGUGGAGUUCUGUACCGAGUCUGGUGAAGUCUUUAAAUCGAGUCAGUGCAGAAUGAUGUUUGUUUGUGACUAUGUGAUUAUGCUUGUUUAUGUGCUUGAUUGCUAUGAGUUUAACCCGAGUUGAGUGUUAAGUCGAGAGAGUAGGACUUGUGAAUCCUUAGGAGUUAAGUAUACCUAGGGAUUGAGAUUUAUUUGGGUAAAUAGAAGAUGAGUGAUAAGUUAUAUCUUGAGACGAGAUUGGAUUUUAGUAAUUGGGUUUCUAACUGAGGUUUAUCUUAUCUCAUGAACCACUCACGUUGUGACAUCUGAAGAUACGAGCAGAGGACGGAGGUAAUAUCGCCCAAGUAUUACGAGAGUAAGCUAAGUUUGUCAAGUGGGCAUUAUUUUGAUAUACCUAUUAUACGAGCUUUCUUAAAUGAUAUGAUACUUAUGAUUAUGAAUUGAGUUAAUGUUACGCUUGAAUCAAAUUGACUUGCCGAGUUUUGUUAAUAAUGACUUGUGUGUUACCCUCUAUUGAUGAGACGAAUUCGGUCCUGCCACAAGCGGAAUUUUGUGCACAGAGGUGACUGUGAGCCGUCUAUCGGGUCGGUCGGUCGAUGGUACUUGAGUAGGGAGGCCUACUUCUCAGUACCUUUGAUGAUGAGUAGUGGAUGUUUAUGAUUUGCGAAAUUGCAUGCACAGGUUCUUCUCUAACUAAAACCCCUGUGUGUUGCUUAAUGUGGCAAGUUCAAUUUAUAGCUCUAAGAGCAAACUUUCAUUUUGUUUUUCGGCAUAUGUCCACUGAGUACUUUGUACUCAGCCCUGCAUGUAUUUCUAAAUGUGCAGGAUAAGCGAGGAUGGAGAAUGGUCUGGUGCUGGCGAGGAUUUUGUUCCGAUGUUAUUCUUUUACCGUAUUUAUAUUACAUACGGUAGCUUUUUGAUGUCGAUAAUUAUAUUUUGGACUUAGUCAAGAAGUAUACUCUCGGCUAUAUGUCAUACAUAUAGUCUAUACACGUUUUGCUGCGAGACUCUGUAAAUUAUAAACAUUUGUAAAUUUUUAACUCUGUCCGCUUUGUAAACUUUGUCGAGAAUCCCUGUACUUUUGAACUUAUGAAGAGGAUAAUAUUUGUGUCUUUGAGAUGAUGUUUUUGUUAUUAACUUUUACUUGUGUUGUUCUGAGCUUCCGCUUGUUGUUUGAUCUAGUUCUUCCCUCUUUACUUCAUUCUUUUAUUUUAGUCGUAUCGAUACUCGAUCUACGCUAUCACUGGCUAGACGUCGGGCUGCGACAAGCUAAUCUAGCGGCAAUAAACGUGGUUCCGAGGAAAAUACCUCUAUUAUAAAGUACUAGUGUUCUCAAGCUCGUUCUCGAAAUUCUAAUAAACGAGCUCUACUCGUUUAUCGAAAAAUUCUGAUUUACUAUUCACUCGUCGUCCAAAAAUAAAAAGUUUCAUCAUUGGACUCGUAUUGAGCGAUUUUUUUUUUGAAAACAAAAAAAAAUUUGGGAAUGCUCUCGCUAGGGUUUCCCCCCGCUGCGUCCUAGGCGGUUGUCUUCUUGUGGUUUGGCCGGCAGGCUCUGGUUUUCUCCAGCCGGCAUGACGUCCUCUUCUGUUCUCUCGGUUUUCCCUCCGUUGGGAAUCAACAACACGAAUUGGUUCCAAUGGCAACGCACGGAAUGGUUUUGUUUCAGACUCAAAUAGGGUUACUCCACCUUCAACCCUCAUGGAUCCUCCUUCGUCUGGUGCAGGAUUCCUUUGGAACGGGGCUCUGCCACCGGCGUCUCUAGAAAAGAAUUCUAGGGUUUCACAAUCCUUCAACCACUCGUCAUGCACUGAGGGUUUUCUCUUCGCGGCUCAUUCGUCCGCGCUGCAUAGAGCCUCCUCCGGGCUGCCGGCAGCGGAGUUUGACUGGAGUGCUUUCAUAGCCAAGGCCAACGCUCAUUCGCAACUUUCACAAUUGGCGGCUGUUCCUAGGGUUUCUGUUUCGGAGAUGGCUGCUACGGAUUUUACGCGAAAUCCCAAUUCCCCCUUAGAUUCCCUUAUCGUGGCUUCAACUCCGGCACAAUUUGGGGAGGGUUCGGGAGUCUUAAUCUCCGGUAAUACACGUACGGCGAGUUCUCAGUCGCUGGAGUUCGCGAACUCUCAAGAGAUGCUUCAACUGGAAACAAGGGUUCUUCACACUACGCCGGCAACACAGCAGCAGCCUCAUAGUAUUCCUCUUAACAGGAAAACGUUUGCGGAAUCUCUGAAAUCCUCUACUGAUCGUCCGGCUGAUGUUCCGGCACAUGAUUAUGCGGUGUUGAAGCUGACGUUAGUGGCAGACCGUCCAUGUCUCAUUCUCUCUUCUGACUUCCGUCAAAGACAAAUUAGGUCUUUUCAACAUGCCAUCCAUGGCCGGAUUUUACUCAAGAAAGGUCAGGCGCCUAGGUUCGCUGCCGACCUCUACUCGGAGCUCUCUGACAUUUGGAAAUCGUCGGCGAACUGGGAAGUUAUUCCUCUCGGGAAGGGUUAUUUUACGCUAAAUUUUCAACAUAUUCUGACUUUGCCGCUGCUUUUGCUAAGAACACUUGGAGACUCCGAUCCGGAAUCCUCUUCCUUCAGGCUUGGACUCCGAAUUUCAAUCUGCACAAGCUGGAAUCCUCAUUGGCUCAAGUUUGGGUGCGAAUUUUCAACUUACAACAUGAGCUCUGGCAUCCUGAGGUCAUUACGGGUAUUGCUCGUCAGGUUGGUACUCCUUUACUUAUUGACGGUUUGUCGGCUAGGGCGUCUGUGGGUAACUUUGCCAGGAUCUUAGUGGAAAUUAAUGUGGCUCUGGAACACCCUUCGUUCCUUGAUGUUAAAUGUGAUGAAAAUACUUAUGAGAUUGAGUUUCGUUAUGAGGAUAUGCCUUCUUUUUGCUGUGUUUGCUCUUCUAUUGGUCACUCUACAGAUAAUUGCCGGAAGAUGAACCCGGAGGCUGAUCCCGCUGGCACGGAGCUACCCCCGCCUAACAGGGAAUUCGGUCAGGUUACAGGUAGGCAAGGACGGCGUCGUAGGAAUAGAGGGCUAGGCGUCGGCGGCCUCGGAGCCGCUCAGUUUGGAGGACUCGAACUGAGGAAGGCACUGCUAUUCAGAAGGACGUCUCUGACCAGUCAAUGGAUGUUCGAAAGAACAUUGGAGAGGUUCCCUUGGAAGCGGGGGUUAUUACUAAUAAACCUUCGCUUUCCCCGACAGCUGGUUCUGCGGACGUUGCCACGUUCAACGCUUUUGAGGUCCUUGAGGAAGGUUUGGAUUCUGAGAUGGGAAAGGGCCUGAAUGACAUGAGCAUAAUCAAAGAACAUUCUAAGAGGCCGGAGAAAGUGAUGCAGUUCAGAGCAGAGACCAGGAUGCAGAGCAGAGCCGAAUUUCAGAGGCUGCACAGAGUGAAGAUCCGGUACACGUGCCCGUUGGUCCGGUGAUGAGAGCUAGAGCCAAGACUUUCAAGGCUAAUUUAAUGACGUUGGUGGAGGAAAUCUGGAGGCAAGAGCUGAGAAGACCAAUUGGAGAAGGACCGACAGAUCAGAGCUCAAAGGUAGUAAACCUUAUUGCUUACCGAGCCGAACCGCCAGAGCAGACUCGAUUCCUCUGGCUUUGCCAGAGCAGCAGAAUCAUGCCGUCCAGAGAAGACUCGAUUCCUCUGGCUUUGCCAGAGCAGCGGAAUCACGCCGUCAGAGAAGAUUCGGUUCCUCUGGCUUUGCCAGAGCAGCGAAAUCAUGCCGUCCAGAGAAGACUCGAUUCCUCUGGCUUUGCCAGAGCAGCGGAAUCACGCCGUCAGAGAAGACUCGAUUCAUUUGGCUUUGCCAGAGCAGCGGAAUCAUGACACCUGAGAAGACUUGAUUCCUCUGGCCUUGCCAGAGCAGCGGAAUCAACCCGCCCAAGAAGACUUGAUUCCUUUGGCAUUGCCCGAGCAGAGGAAUCAUUCCACCAGAGCAGACAUGUUUCCUCUGCGUUUUUCCAGAGCAGAUGGAUUUCUCGCUGGGUUUCUUUUGACUUGCUGAACAAGUUCCGUUAUUUCUUUAUUUCUGUUUAUUUCCUUUUUACGUAGGGUUUCCUGUUCCCUAUAAAUAGGGAUGUUAUGCGUUGGACAAAGUUAGACAAUUUUGAUAAUAUAACAGUGAGUUUAAUUCUCUCUCAAGUUUCGAAUUCUUCUUGAUAAACAAGGAUUCAACCUAUCGACGAAUCGACGAGUUCAUCAUCCCUCGCCGUGUGUCAUUCAGAGUCUUCGAGUUACUGCAUCAAAUGCACGUUGGGGUCUAGGGAUUCGUUCGCCUAGAUCAUUUCGUGGUUUAGAUUUAGGGGUUUUGGGAAUUCCAUCCUUUAUCUGUCUUUUCAAUUUCAUCCGUUCAUUUUCAGUCUUCCGCUUACAAAUCAAAUAGAUCGGUGAUUUCCAUAUCUUUUACGUUAUUGCUUGUGUUUUCCGGUGAAACUCCAUAAAUCCCGGCCAAGAUCAUAUCAUCUGGUAUCAGUUUUUCCAGGUUUCGUAAGGGUUACGCUAUAUAUAAAAAACAAAAAAAAAACAAAAAAAAAACAAAAAAACAACAGAGAACAAUCAAACAAAAUCUUCCCGAAAAUAAAAAGAAGGAUGCAGUAAGCAUCAACUUUGUGUUUGCCCAUACCGAAUUUUCUUGUCUCUUAACCCGUUGUGUGUUCUUUAUUUCUUUGGAUUCCAUCGCUAGUUGUGGUGUUUGUUUUUCUGCGUAGCACUGAUUUUGGGUUCCAGUCUGCGUUUAGGCGUCUAUCUUUUCUUUGUCGAGUCCUAUCUUCUCUGUGUAUUUGCUGUGGUCCUUGUGAGGCGUGACAUCGAGUGCUCUCGUCGAGUGCGCUUGUUGAUCUCGUUGUGCCGUUGGUUUGUGAAUUCCAUUGGUAGAUUGAGGGAAUUUGAUUCUUUGACAGAGAAUUUGAGCGGUAAAAGGCAAGAGUGGUGAGAUUAGCAGAGGGUAAAAGCCUUGAUUUGUGUGGAUACACGAGCGCUGAGUGAUUUCAUCUUGAGUGAUACACGAGUGUUUGUGAGGUGGUGAGGUCCUUUCUUGUUUUUGUUGUUUUCUAACGUUUCUUGUUUUCUGUCUGUGUUACUAUGUCAAAGCACCCUGAACAGGGUAUGGAUUUGAGCGAUAGCCCUGUUAUGGAUCCCCAGUUCAAACUCGUGAUGGAGGCACUUCGCUCCGAAUUUGGCAGGAUGCUCCAUUCCGAACUCGAGGGCGUGUACGAUAAGAUUGAAUUGCUGGAACAGUCUCAUUCGCGUGAACACACUUUCACACGAGGAGGCAGACGGGGGCGAGGAGGCCGUGCUGGUGGCGGAGGUCGAUUCCACCGUCAGUAUGAGGAGCAUGUCGAUGAUACCGAAUUUGAGGAAGAGAACGACGAUGACAGAAUGUGGCAAGAUCACAAUCUGGGAAACAUCAAGAUGAACAUUCCUCCAUUCCAAGGGAAGAAUGACCCCGAAUUGUAUCUUGAUUGGGAGAGAAAGGUGGAGCUUAUGUUCGAUUGCCACACCAAUUCAGAGCUCAAGAAGGUGAAGUUGGCAGCGAUUGAGUUCUCAGAUUAUGCACUUGUUUGGUGGGAUCAGCUGGUGUACGAGUUAGGAGGAGAAACAAUGAGCCACCUAUUCAAACUUGGCAGGANGAUCCACAGUUCAAACUAGUGAUGGAGGCUCUUCGCUCCGAGUUUGGCAGGAUGCUACAUUCCGAACUCGAGGGCGUGUACGACAAGAUUGAAUUGCUGGAACAAUCCCAUUCUGGAGAAUCCAAUUUCACACGAGGAGGCAGACGCGGGCGAGGAGGCCGUGGUGGUGGCGGAGGACGAUUUCACCGUCAGUAUGAGGAGCAUGUCGAUGGUACCGGAUUUGAGGAUGAGGACGACGAUGGCAGAGCGUGGCAGGACAACAAUCUGGGCAACAUCAAGAUGAACAUUCCUCCCUUCCAAGGGAAGAAUGAUCCUGAAUUGUAUCUUGAUUGGGAGAGAAAGGUGGAGCUUAUGUUCGAUUGCCACACCUAUUCAGAGCUCAAGAAGGUGAAGUUGGCAGCGGUUGAGUUCUCCGAUUAUGCACUUGGUUUGGUGGGAUCAACUGGUGACGAGUAGGAGAAGAAACAAUGAGCCAUCUAUUCAAACUUGGCAGGAGAUGAAGGCUGUGAUGCGGAAACGUUUUGUGCCAACUCAUUACUACCGCGAGCUUUUCAACAAGUUGCAGACCUUGAGGCAGGGCAGUCGGAGUGUGGAUGAGUAUUAUAAGGAGAUGGAGGUUGCCAUGAUUCGAGCCAAUGUGGAGGAGGAGCGAGA